rnacentral:lncRNA from 1 species
AGUAAAUAGCGAGACUUGAAAACUGGCUCACAUGAAGAAGCUGAAGUGGUAAGAAGUUCAUUCCAGGAACUACGUAAGAGGCGCUGGAGGAUUGUUAGAAAGCUUCUACUUACAGUCGUAGAGGAACACAAUGGUUGUUGUAUCCAGUAGAGUGCCUACCUCCCCUUGCAUACUGUUAUAUGUAUAGGCAUCCAUGUGUAUUCUAAGUUGUUAUGUAGUCUAUAAUUGUGAUAAUGUGAUAAUUCAUGGACUAAAUAUUAUGAUAAUAAUAUAUAUUAGACUUUUUGUGCUUUUCAGUUAAAACUCGUAUGCCUUUUAAAGCUAUCUAAAAAUCAUUUUAAUUUUUAAAUUAGAAAAGAAAUUUGAUGCCAAGAAUAUUAGGCCAAUUGUUAGUAUUGUGUGCAUCCAUUUGACUGUUGUAUAUGUAAAGAUGGAGAGGCAGAUAGGAAGACUGGGCUCAGCAUUUCAGCAGUCUGGCUUUUUUGGGGAUGAGGGGAAUUCUAAUACAGCAUUCUGUUUUUCAAGACAAGAUUUACCGUUUCAUUCUAAUUUAGUCCUGUGAGCUUUGAGAGCAGCAGACAACUUUAACAGCAGCUACCCAGGGCUUACUAAGUCCUUUAAAAGGGAGGAAGAACUAACUUGCAGUUACUUCGUUUGCUAAGAAUCCUAUUUCAAAAUGAGAAAUGUUCUUCUUCCUGCCCCAUUAUGCAUUCCCCUCGGGCUCCCCAGCCUUCGCAAUGCUUUGGAGCAUCACCCGGAGAAGCAUUUGACAUGCCAACAGGGAAACCUGCUUCAGUUCACCGAAUCCGAGAACCAGCACACUGAGACUUGAGGGAAAAAAUUAACUUUGCAUUAUCUAAUUAAGUUUAUGGGAUUGCUGCAGAGUAGCCCUGCUUCUCAAAUCUAGAAGGCACAAUUAACUGCAGUACUAUAUCAAUACCAACUAGUCUGCUAAUAGGCUUCUAAGCAAAGCAAUUGGAAUUUGUUAUUACCAAGAUUUUUUUUUCAAACUGGUGAAUUAAAAUUAAAUCACAAACUACUGGGAACCAUUCUGCAAGAGAAUAGAUGUUCUAAUCAUUUUUUUUCAUCUUUUAAUUUUUAUUGAUUCUUUGGGUUUCAGGAUACAUGUAGCCUCACGAGGUAUGAUACUCUCUUCAAUAGCAAGCUUACAUAUUUAAUAAUUGUUUGGCUUAGAUGUAAUUUUAGCAUUUGUAGAAGUUUUUAAGGGUGUGUGUAUGUGUAUGUGUGCGUGUGCGUGUGUGUGUGCUUGCCUGCCAACAUGCAGGAGUGUAUUUAUGUGCAUGCAUGUAUACCUAGUUCCCUAGAAGCCAGAAGAAGGCAUCCAUCAGAUCCUGUGUUAGGAACUAAACUCUGGUCCUCUGCAAGAUUAACAUAUGCUCCUAACUACUGAGCCAUCUCUCUCUGGGCCCCCCUUUGUAUUGCUUUUAUGAAACCAUUUUAUAGUAUGCUAUGGUGCUCACAUGCUUACGCACUGUGUGUGUGCCUUGCUUGAGAGCUUGGUGUUGAGUAGGCACUCACAGGAAAACUGCCUUCAUAGGGAAACUGCCUGUGAGUUUUGUCAACUAAACUAACAAGGGAAGAGAGUCUCAAUGAGGGCUUGCCUAGAUUAGGCUGACGUGUGGGUUUGUCUACCAGGUGUUAUCUUAGGUGUCGCAAUCAGCAGUUCUCGACCUGUGGGUCUUGACCCCCAAUCAGAUCUCCCACAUAGCAGAUAUUUAUAUUAUAAUUCAUGACAGUAGCAAAAUUACAGUUAUGAAUUAACAACGAAAUAGUUAUAUGGUUGGGAUUCACUACAGAAUAAGAAGUUGUAUUUAAGGGUCAGAGCAUUUGGAAGGUGGAGAAACACUGGGCUUAAUUGAUAUGGGAAGGGCCCAGCCUAAAAGUGGGCCAUCUCGUCCGCUGGUGUCGGCUCUUGAUUUGUAAGAGAGUGGAGAACCCAGCCAUGUAGCAGGCAUCCAUGCAUCCAUUCUCUCUGCUCUUGACUUUGCUGUGAUGAGACUGUUUUAAGUUCCUGUUGCCUGCAUUUCUCUAUUAUCAUGGACUGUGCCCUGGGAUUGUGAGCUAAAAUUAGCCCUUUCUCCCUUGGGUGACUAUAUCAAUGCAGUAUUUUUAUCCUUAGCUGAGCAUUUCAAUCUUGAUAUAUUAGUUUAAAAGGCUAAGUGAUGUUUUUAAAAGCACAGACUAGUGAGGUGCAGUUACAUAUUAGAAAAAUAGUCCUAAAGCCUGUGAUUGCAGUACUCUGAAAAGACUUUGCCCAACAUUAUUUACUGUUACACUCUACAUU